GAUGAACGCUGGCGGCGUGCUUAACACAUGCAAGUCGAACGGAAAGGCCCAAGCUUGCUUGGGUACUCGAGUGGCGAACGGGUGAGUAACACGUGGGUGAUCUGCCCUGCACUUCGGGAUAAGCCUGGGAAACUGGGUCUAAUACCGGAUAGGACCACCUGUUGGAUGGUGGGGUGGAGAGUUUUUCGGUGUGGGAUGAGCUCGCGGCUUAUCAGCUUGUUGGUGGGGUAGUGGCUUACCAAGGCGUCGACGGGUGGCCGGCCUGAGAGGGUGACCGGCGACAUUGGGACUGAGAUACGGCCCAGACUCCUACGGGGGGCAGCAGUGGAGAAUAUUGCACAAUGGGCGGAAGCCUGAUGCAGCAACGCCGCGUGCGGGAUGACGGCCUUCGGGUUGUAAACCGCUUUCGCCUGGGACGAAGCGUGAGUGACGGUAAUGGGUAAAGAAACACCGGCUAACUACGUG
rnacentral:rRNA from 1 species